rnacentral:rRNA from 1 species
UACGUAGGGUGCAAGCGUUAAUCGGAAUUACUGGGCGUAAAGCGUGCGCAGGCGGUUUUGUAAGUCUGUCGUGAAAUCCCCGGGCUCAACCUGGGAAUUGCGAUGGAGACUGCAAGGCUAGAAUCUGGCAGAGGGGGGUAGAAUUCCACGUGUAGCAGUGAAAUGCGUAGAGAUGUGGAGGAACACCGAUGGCGAAGGCAGCCCCCUGGGUCAAGAUUGACGCUCAUGCACGAAAGCGUGGGGAGCAAACAGGGAUUAGAGUACCCUU